rnacentral:misc_RNA from 1 species
GAAAUGCGAUAAGUAAUGUGAAUUGCAGAAUUCAGUGAAUCAUCGAAUCUUUGAACGCACAUUGCGCCCGCCAGUAUUCUGGCGGGCAUGCCUGUUCGAGCGUCAUUACAACCCUCAGGCCCCCGGGCCUGGCGUUGGGGAUCGGCGGAAGCCACCUGCGGGCACAACGCCGUCCCCCAAAUACAGUGGCGGUCCCGCCGCAGCUUCCAUUGCGUAGUAGCUAACACCUCGCAACUGGAGAGCGGCGCGGCCACGCCGUAAAACACCCAACUUCUGAAUGUUGACCUCGAAUCAGGUAGGAAUACCCGCUGAACUUAAGC